CACCACUUGAUUCUACAAAUCUGUCGGAAGAGAUCUACUGGCUAUCUGGACCCCUAGACUGUGCCUCCGAACCUGAGAGGGAAGGGGGUCAAUACAAAAGUACUAGUACGCAGAGAAAUCAAAACAGAAAUAUAAUAUUUUUACACAAUAUAGGUAAGAGCCAUUAUAAAGCAGUUUCAUAUCAAAUCAUUUGAAAACAUAUGGGCAUAAUGUAAUGAUUUUUCAACACCAAUGCAAUGCAUUUGAGCUAGGUGGAAUACCCUACAAUUUGUAAUUCCACGACUAUGUGGAAUCCACCUUUUAGCUCGACGGCCGAGCCUCCAAUCCAAGUAGCCGCCAGGAUUUGGAGCCAGUGAUACCCCCCAUGUGAGCACACCGCAGGAAUCCCCCUAUGUGAGAUGCCCCAAAUAAUUUUAUUAAUCCUCCCAUGUAGGAUACAAUAUCAUAUAACCCGCAUCGGCAAUUAUGGUUUCCAGCGAUGAGCCCUUUCACUCAAACGCCUUCUUCGGAUAUCCACCUUUUUCAUGAAAAUUAAUGGACUCAAACUUUGUUCAAAUCAAUCACAUGUCAUACUCUGUAGGAUAUUGUCAUACCCGACUUGCAAGUCAUCAAUAUCAUAUCAUUCUCUUCAUUCAAUCAUCAUAUGCGCAUAUUUCAACAUGAACAAAACAACCCUCUCUUUGAAAGUCAAAAACCAUAUCCAAAUCAUGACAUUUUAUUUUUAAGACAUUUCAUGACAUGCAUUUCAAGAUGAUUUCAAACAAUUCAUAUCAUGUGAAAAUUUAAAACAACAUCAUAUCAAGAGAGGGGUUCCAUGUAAUUCAUGCUCUCAAUUUAUCACCAUUAUGAAACACAUGCAUAUAUACAUAUAUAUACGAAAGGCCUAAAGACCACAACAAUAUUAUUAAAACAUUUAAAGCAUAAUUAUAUUCAUAAUUUCAAAACCCCCAUUGAAAAACAUGAUUUAACUGCCCACGAGAUUUUUAGGAUAACCCCACGUACCUCUAUAUGCGAAAAUAUUAGGUGCUUCUUGAAGCCUACGUUGUGCGAAUUCCAAAUCUUCAAUUUGUUUUGAAAACCCACGGUUGAAUCGUGAGAUGCUUGGGUAUUUAUUGUGAAACCCUAAGGGGUGUUCUU
rnacentral:lncRNA from 1 species